rnacentral:rRNA from 1 species
CUGCCCGGUGCUCGAAGGUUAAUUGAUGGGGUUAGCAUUAGCGAAGCUCUUGAUCGAAGCCCGAGUAAACGGCGGCCGUAACUAUAACGGUCCUAAGGUAGCGAAAUUCCUUGUCGGUUAAAUACCGACCUGCAUGAAUGGCGUAACGAGAUGGGAGCUGUCUCAAAGAGGGAUCCAGUGAAAUUGUAGUGGAGGUGAAAAUUCCUCCUACCCGCGGCAAGACGGAGAGACCCCGUGGACCUUUACUACAGCUUGACACUGCUACUUGGAUAAGAAUGUGCAGGAUAGGUGGGAGGCUUUGAGUAUAUGACGCCAGUUGUAUAUGAGCCAUUGUUGAGAUACCACUCUUUCUUAUUUGGGUAGCUAACCAGCUUGAGUUAUCCUCAAGUGGGACAAUGUCUGGUGGGUAGUUUGACUGGGGCGGUCGCCUCCCAAAUAAUAACGGAGGCUUACAAAGGUUGGCU